GUGAGGAAUAUUGGUCAAUGGGCGAGAGCCUGAACCAGCCAAGUAGCGUGCAGGACGACGGCCCUAUGGGUUGUAAACUGCUUUUAUGUGGGGAUAAAGUGCGUGACGUGUCAUGCAUUGCAGGUACCACAUGAAUAAGGACCGGCUAAUUCCGUGCCAGCAGCCGCGGUAAUACGGAAGGUCCGGGCGUUAUCCGGAUUUAUUGGGUUUAAAGGGAGCGUAGGCUGUCUAUUAAGCGUGUUGUGAAAUUUACCGGCUCAACCGGUGGCUUGCAGCGCGAACUGGUCGACUUGAGUAUGCAGGAAGUAGGCGGAAUUCAUGGUGUAGCGGUGAAAUGCUUAGAUAUCAUGACGAACUCCGAUUGCGCAGGCAGCUUACUGUAGCAUAACUGACGCUGAUGCUCGAAAGUGCGGGUAUCAAACAGGAUUAGAAACCCUAGUAGUCC
rnacentral:rRNA from 1 species